AUUGAACGCUGGCGGCAGGCCUAACACAUGCAAGUCGAGCGGAGCGGCGGACGGGUGAGUAAUGCCUAGGAACCUGCCUGGUGGUGGGGGAUAACGUCCGGAAACGGGCGCUAAUACCGCAUACUAUCAGAUGAGCCUAGGUCGGCUUAGCUAGUUGGUGGGGUAAAGGCCUACAAAGGCGACGAUCCGUAACGGGCCUGAGAGGAUGAUCAGUCACACUGGAACUAAGACACGGUCCAGACUCCUACGGGAGGCAGCAGUGGGGAAUAUUGGACAAUGGGCGAAAGCCUGAUCCAGCCAUGCCGCGUGUGUGAAGAAGGUCUUCGGAUUGUAAAGCUCUGUAAGUUGGGAGGCGUUACCAACAGAAUAAGCACCGGCUAACUUCGUGCCAGCAGCCGCGGUAAUUC
rnacentral:rRNA from 1 species